rnacentral:rRNA from 1 species
UAGGGAAUCUUCCACAAUGGACGCAAGUCUGAUGGAGCAACGCCGCGUGAGUGAAGAAGGUCUUCGGAUCGUAAAGCUCUGUUGUUGGUGAAGAAGGAUAGAGGCAGUAACUGGUCUUUAUUUGACGGUAAUCAACCAGAAAGUCACGGCUAACUACGUGCCAGCAGCCGCGGUAAUACGUAGGUGGCAAGCGUUGUCCGGAUUUAUUGGGCGUAAAGCGAGCGCGGGCGGAAUGAUAAGUCUGAUGUGAAAGCCCACGGCUCAACCGUGGAACUGCAUCGGAAACUGUCAUUCUUGAGUGCAGAAGAGGAGAGUGGAACUCCAUGUGUAGCGGUGGAAUGCGUAGAUAUAUGGAAGACACCAGUGGCGAAGGCGGCUCUCUGGUCUGCAACUGACGCUGAGGCUCGAAAGCAUGGGUGCGACAGGAUUAGAUACCCUGGUAGUCCAUGCCGUAAACGAUGAGCGCUAGGUGUUGGGGACUUUCCGGU